UACGUAGGUGGCGAGCGUUGUCCGGAAUUACUGGGCGUAAAGGGCGCGUAGGCGGUUUUUUAAGUUAGAUGUGAAAACCCAGGGCUUAACUUUGGGCGUGCAUUUAAAACUGGAGAGCUUGAGUGCAGGAGAGGUAAGUGGAAUUCCUAGUGUAGCGGUGAAAUGCGUAGAUAUUAGGAGGAACACCAGUGGCGAAGGCGACUUACUGGACUGUAACUGACGCUGAGGCGCGAAAGCGUGGGGAGCAAACAGGAUUAGAUACCCUGGUAGUCCACGCUGUAAACGAUGGAUACUAGGUGUGGGAGGUAUCGACCCCUUCCGUGCCGCAGUUAACGCAAUAAGUAUCCCGCCUGGGGAGUACGGCCGCAAGGUUGAA
rnacentral:rRNA from 1 species